GUACACAUGUGCCCUUUUACUCCUUUCGCCCUCCUCCACCCCCUCGUGGAUUGUGUUUUUAAUAAGCUCUGUUAGGUGAUUCUUCUAAUGUUUGAGAACCUCUGCUACAAAAAAAAACUCCCACAGGCUUGAAUCCUGGUGGGUCAAGGAAGAUACUUCCUCAAAUAGCCUAUGAGAUGGAGCCUUACUAAAUCUGGAGAGUCUGCCCCUCCCAGGACUAGCCAAUUCCUGGAGACAGUAAACAACUCACCUGCAAGAGCGCCUUUCACAUGUGAACGAAGCGAUCCUGAGCCCACUCACUGAGCACCUCCUUUCUCAGGCUCUUACCCUCUGGGCCACUAUUCCCCUGCUCUAACUGUCCCAGGGCCAGCUACAGACACCUAGAGACAACCCUUGUGCCCCAGAGCCUGCUGAAAUCAUUCAAACUAGCCAGCUCUACACCUGCGCUCCCUGCCUUGCCUGCUCCUUCCUGCAGAAGCCAAAUGAAGACUGGAGCCCACGUUUCCCGGUCGCUGCCUCUGCCUGGGACAGACCCAGAGCUUCCAUGCAUUGCCCCCAUGGGUGGCAUGCUCCCUCCCCUUGGACACUAUGAAUAACAAACUAUUCUUUUCAAGGACAGUCUCCUGACCUGUUGUCCUCAUCACACCUGAAUAACAAUAAAACCUACAUUUUAAAACA
rnacentral:lncRNA from 1 species